AUACUUCUCUGCCAGGGGAGAUACUGUGAUCAUGAAGGUGGCUUUCCCAGGGCAAGGCUGAUCUAUUGCAUUCUGGAUGUGCUGACUCCUACGAUUUCCCCAAGUGUGGGAAACUCAACUGCAUAAUUUGUGGAAGUAAUGACUGUGUUUGCACUUUCACGU
ensembl:snRNA RNU1-41P RNA, U1 small nuclear 41, pseudogene